rnacentral:rRNA from 1 species
AUUGAACGCUGGCGGCAUGCCUAACACAUGCAAGUCGAGCGGAUGAAGGGAGCUUGCUCCUGUCUUCAGCUGCGGACGGGUGAGUGAUUCCUAGGUAUCUGCCUUGUAUUUGGGGAUAACGUCCGGUAACGGGCGCUAAUAUCACAUCCGUCCAUAUUUUGAAAGUGGUGGAUCUUCAGACCUCGCGCUACCUGCUGUGCCUAGGUCGGAUUAGCUAGUUGGUGUGGUAAAGGCCUACCAAGGCGACGAUCCGUAACUGGUCUGAGAGGAUGAUCAGUCACACUGGAACUGAGACACGGUCCAGACUCCUACGGGAGGCAGCAGUGGGGAAUAUUGGACAAUGGGCGAAAGCCUGAUCCAGCAAUGCCGCGUGUGUGAAGAAGGUCUUCGGAUUGUAAAGCACUUUAAGUUGGGAGGAAGGGCAGUAAGUUAAUACCUUGAUGUUUUGACGGUACCAACAGAAUAAGCACCGGCUAACUUCGUG